GGAAGAUUAGCUACUCCUACGGGAGGCAGCAGUAGGGAAUCUUCCGCAAUGGACGAAAGUCUGACGGAGCAACGCCGCGUGAGUGAAGAAGGUUUUCGGAUCGUAAAACUCUGUUGUUAGGGAAGAACAAGUGCCGUUCGAAUAGGGCGGCGCCUUGACGGUACCUAACCAGAAAGCCACGGCUAACUACGUGCCAGCAGCCGCGGUAAUGGUUGUUA
rnacentral:rRNA from 1 species